rnacentral:rRNA from 1 species
UACGUAGGGGGCUAGCGUUGUCCGGAUUUAUUGGGCGUAAAGAGCGUGUAGGCGGCCAGGUAGGUCUGCUGUGAAAACUCGAGGCUUAACCUCGAGACGUCGGUUGAAACCGUAUGGCUAGAGUCCGGAAGAGGAGAGUGGAAUUCCCGGUGUAGCGGUGAAAUGCGCAGAUAUCGGGAAGAACACCUAUGGCGAAGGCAGCUCUCUGGGACGGUACUGACGCUGAGACGCGAAAGCGUGGGGAGCAAACAGG